rnacentral:tRNA from 1 species
GUCGAUAUAGUGUAACCUGGUUAGCACAGGAGAUUGUGGCUCUCCUAGUCCGGGUUCAAAUCCCGGUAUCGGCC